rnacentral:misc_RNA from 1 species
UCCUUUAAGUGGUUUCAACGUCUCCACUUUGGCACAUCGAUGCCGUCGGGGGGCGUCCACCCCAUCAACUUCCGCCGCCUGACCUGCUGGCUCAGGCUCUUGUUGUCGCAAAUCAUGGCCACUCUCUUCGCCCGACCCCGGAUCAAUCCAGCCUGAAUUCAGAGUUCUUCACGAACGACUACAUCACUGACGGCGUAAGGCUCNNNNNNCUCGAUCCCGAGACGGACAUCGAACUGCGGACGAGCUUCAGGCCGAAAUCUCCGCCGAA